CACAUGUGGCUUCAAGGAGGAGCAAAGCCACCAGUGCUAAUAUGAACCACUUCCAAGGGAGUAGAAGUAGGGUGGUUUUAUUUUCUUCUUUUUAGCCUGAGGCUGUACAAGCUCAGAAGAUUUUUAGAAGGAUUUUUUGGUACUCACACCUAGGAGCCCAGUUGCAGAGGGGAGUGAGAGAACAGCCUUGAUGGGUAUCUGCCAUCCAGCCAGGGGCAAUCCAGCACAGUGUGAAAUACAAUGAUCCUGCUCACCAGGCCUUCUGUGUAUUUGCUCCUCACAUACCCAGUGGUCUUCACAAGUGGCAAGCCGGGAAACAAAUGGAGAUGGAGCAG